CGGCACGUAGCGCAGCCUGGUAGCGCACCGUCAUGGGGUGGCGGGGGUCGAGAGUUCGAAUCUCUCCGUGCCGA
rnacentral:tRNA from 1 species